rnacentral:tRNA from 1 species
AAUAAAGUGCCUGAGUAAAGGAUUGCCUUGAUAGGGCAAAUAAUGUGUUUUCACCUUUAUUA